GACGAACGCUGGCGGCGUGCUUAACACAUGCCAGUGGAGCGACUAAGCGGGCUUCGGCCCGUGGCAAAGCCGCGAACGGGUGAGUAACACGUGGGUAACCUGCCCUGAUGACCGGGACAACCCGAGGCAACUCGGGCUAAUACUGGAUGUGGGCCAUACACAUGAGGGUUCGGACUAAGGGUAGCUACGGCCGUCGCACCAGGAUGGGCCCGCGGCGCAUUAGCGUGUUGGUGAGGUAAUGGCUUACCAAGGCGACGAUGCGUAGCUGGUCUGAGAGGACGAUCAGCCACACUGGGACUGAGACACGGCCCAGACUCCUACGGGAGGCAGCAGUGGGGAAUCUUGCGCAAUGCGCGAAAGCGUGACGCAGCAACGCAGCGUGAGGGAAGACGGCUUUCGGGUUGUAAACCUCUUUCAGGAGGGACGAAGCCUGGCUGGUGAAUAGCCUGUCCAGGUGACGGUACCUCCACAAGAAGCCCCGGCUAACUACGUGCCAGCCGCCGCAGUAA
rnacentral:rRNA from 1 species